CAACUCUUGGCUCUCUUCAAAUCGUACAAAUCUUUCGCCUUUUACUAAAGAUUUCCGUGGAGAGGGUCAACUAAUGAGUCUAAACCUAAUUUUUGGAAUGCCUGGCGAAAGCGGGCAC
rnacentral:snRNA from 1 species